rnacentral:rRNA from 1 species
CCUACGGGUGGCAGCAGUGAGGAAUAUUCGGCAAUGGACGAAAGUCUGAACCAGCCAAGUCGCGUGAGGGAUGACUGCCCUAUGGGUUGUAAACUUCUUUUAUAUGGGAAUAAAAUGUUCCACGUGUGGGAUAUUGUAUGUACCAUAUGAAUACGGAUCGGCUAACUCCGUGCCAGCAGCCGCGGUAAUACGGAGGAUCCGAGCGUUAUCCGGAAUUAUUGGGUUUAAAGGGAGCGUAGGUGGAUUGUUAAGUCAGGUGUGAAAGUUUGCGGCUCAACCGUAAAAUUGCAGUUGAAACUGGGAGUCUUGAGUACAGGAGAGGUGAGCGGAAUUCGUGGUGUAGCGGUGAAAUGCUUAGAUAUCACGAAGAACUCCGAUUGCGAAGGCAGUUCACUGGACUGUAACUGACGCUGAGGCUCGAAAGUGUGGGUAGCAAACAGGAUUAGAUACCCCUGUAGUC